rnacentral:rRNA from 1 species
CUGCUGCCUUCCGUAGGAGUUUGGGCCGUGUCUCAGUCCCAAUGUGGCCGUCCACCCUCUCAGGCCGGCUACUGAUCGUCGCCUUGGUGGGCCGUUACCCCGCCAACAAGCUAAUCAGACGCGGGUCCAUCUUACACCACCGGAGUUUUUCACACAAAUCCAUGCGGCUUCGUGCGCUUAUGCGGUAUUAGCACCUAUUUCUAAGUGUUAUCCCCCAGUGUAAGGCAGGUUACCCACGCGUUACUCACCCGUCCGCCACUAAGUAA